rnacentral:rRNA from 1 species
AGGACGAACGCUGGCGGCGUGCUUAACACAUGCAAGUCGAGCGGAAAGGCCCUUCGGGGUACUCGAGCGGCGAACGGGUGAGUAACACGUGAGCAAUCUGCCCUUAGCUUCGGGAUAGCUCCGGGAAACCGGAAUUAAUACCGAAUAUGACUGUGGUCGACAUCUGCCACGGUGGAAAGUUUUUCGGCUAGGGAUGAGCUCGCGGCCUAUCAGCUUGUGGUGGGUAAUGGCCUACCAAGGCGACGACGGGUA